CUUUUACAGUGGCACUUCUUUUGGGAAGAAUCAUGAGUUAACCGUAAAAGGGUGAAUGUUUUUCCUGUUCAGCAUGACAGUUACUUGAGCUUUCUUUCCUUCCUUCAUUUUCCCCCCUUUUGUUACCUUGCCUUCCUUUCUCUUUGAGGCAGUAUCACAUCACUCUAUAAGAAAUCAUUGCCCUAAUUAGCAGGGCCGGUUCUAAGCCAGUUUGCUUCUAACUGUGAGAACCUGAACCGAUCAAUCCCCCUUUCCUUGUCUGUAGCUCCCUCACUUAACAAAGGGGUUCAGCCUCAAUCACAUCUGGGUAACUUUCUGUUCUAGCACUCCUUUGACUCAAAAAUGAGUCUGGAGCCCAGCAAACGGUACUUAACUCUUCAGACAUCAUGGCAAGUUGGUAGGUCAAAGUAUCCACUCCAGUGUGAGGCUAAGACCCCAAGGCCCAAUAGUUGCUAUAGAUCUUCUUUCUAACAAGGUGCCCAGGGUACCAUUAGGGCUAAUUGAGUGUUCAGAGACCACCAGUUCCCAAAAAUAAGCGAUCUUCCUCACUCCUCAACAAGUUUCAGAGGGACUAAUUAAUUAGGCAAUUUCAAAUAAGAAAACUUCCCAGGUGAUCAUUGAUGUGCAGCUCUGAAACUUAUCUCCGGAGACCCCACAAGUCACACAGCAAAGAGCACGGUUGCUAAGGACAGAGAAUGGCUUUGUAAAUUGGUGAAGGUCAACAUGACUGCUUCACUAGCUGCUGUCCUGUCUUCUUUGGAUUUAUCCCCUUAGGUUACAAAAUAAAAUAACACAAACAUACUCCAGUUCAGCCAAAGUUAGCAAACCCAGGAGAUCAAGUUAACUUGUGAAGUGGGAAGCCUGCAGAAAGGCUACCAUUUCAACCCUCUUUAUAUGGAAGAUCGGGGGUCUUUUAGAAGGAGCCUCUAGGUUAGAACAGUUCCUGAUCAUGAACAAGUUAUUUAAAACUCUUGGGUUGCAUGUCCUCCAAAUGUAAAGAGAGGCUCAGGAAGAGUAAUCCCAGUGGCGCGUUCCGCGAGCUGUCGCGUGCAUGUGCCUGGAACACGGUAAGAGUGCAGCAGCUGCUCGGCCUCAGCACUGGUAGCCGUCACCGUCAUAGCCACCACUGCCGUUUUCACCCAGGCUCUUUAUUACAUCAGCUCCUACCAGGUCCCCCUGCGUCUCCUCACCCCCUUCAUCCCGACGAUCUUGUGCAGAGCCAGCUCCCCAACUGGCAAAGGACAGACUCAAGAGCAUUUGCACCCGUGGAACGCAGCCCUCCUGUGCGUUACUGCUGCGGUGAUAUAAGGAAUGUAGGAACGUCGGGGCUCUCGAAACUCUGACCUGUGUGUUUCUACGUCAUGUCGCAGAUUCCAUCCCGAAUGUCUGCCCACCCCAGCAGACAUCCCUGUUCCCUUCUGCUGGAGCAGAACCGCUGGCCGGUGGAGGUGCCCGCCCCGCCUCACCUGGUGGCGCUGGAUCCCGAGGCUCCGAGCCUCCCAACCUGCAGACAGAAGCACUCCACGAAGGCACACAAAUCAGCCAGAGACCGGUGACUUCACAGACGUGGCUGCCACACCAGGACAGAAAUUGGGCCACACAGAAUCUUCUUCUCUUUAAGGUAUAAAAUCAUAACAGGGAAAGCAAGCAGAAUCCUUCUCCUGACUGUAUUCUCGCACUUGUGUUCUCUUCCAACGGACGAAAGCUAAACAACCCAAACCCGGUCCACUGCCCCAGACUGGAUUAGUUUUGCCCAUUGUGCGACAGAAAAUCGAAAAUGACAGUAACUUACAUGACUUCUUUACUCCCUAAAACAUGUCAGAGGGGAGCUAAUACCAAUUGAAAUGUCUGUAAGUGACCUAAUGAUCUCCUCAUGGUACAUAAUAGCGGCUACAAAUCCAGCCAUUUAAUCCUCAUUCCUCACAGAGAGGACAAAGUGGGAGAAAAACUAGUAACCUGAAAAUCUAAGGAGACUUUCUAGAUGCACCUCAGAAAUUUUCUACUAAAGUAUCAUUCACUGGUCAGCACUUGAGGAUGUGAUCAAGCCGCCUAGAGAGCGUUUGGAGAACGAAGUCCUUUCUGUCGACGGCAAUGUGCUGGGCUGAACUGAGGGACCCGCGGCAGCAGGAAUAAAAGGCUGGCUUUCUCUGUUUGGUUGAGCUCCUUCUCUCCCAGCCAUUCUUUCUCCUGCGUGGUCUCACUACCAUGAUGGCACUCGUGUGAGGGCGAAAAGCUAAAUCUUGCCGCCCGGGACCUCAGUUGGAAGCUCAGACUCACUGUGCCCACUGCCCAUCUGCCCUGCGUUGCCCUCGGGCUUUGCAGCUGCCCGGUAUCGCCGGUUCCACUCGCUUCCACCCCUCCGCCUCCCUGGAACCCAAGCACCUCCGGGCGGGGCGCUGCCGGACCCGUGUACCGCUAGAUCCUCAGAGCGCGAGAAAAUAGCUGCAACUCAGCAGUCGCUGUGGGCAAAAAUUUUAGUAUAAUAAUCAUUUCAUCCAUUAAAAUGCCUAUUCAGAAAAAUAUUAAAUGGAAUAUAACUUUUUUACUUUUUGUAUUUUAUUUUAAAGAGAGUAGUAAAAGAGGAAAAAAGAGAACAAUAGCAGCAUACCAG
ensembl:lincRNA